UACAGAGGGGGCAAGCGUUGUUCGGAAUUACUGGGCGUAAAGGGCGCGUAGGCGGCCUGUUAAGUCGAACGUGAAAUCCCCGGGCUCAACCCGGGAACUGCGUCCGAUACUGGCAGGCUUGAAUCCGGGAGAGGGAUGCGGAAUUCCAGGUGUAGCGGUGAAAUGCGUAGAUAUCUGGAGGAACACCGGUGGCGAAGGCGGCAUCCUGGACCGGCAUUGACGCUAAAGCGCGAAAGCCAGGGGAGCAAACGGG
rnacentral:rRNA from 1 species